rnacentral:lncRNA from 1 species
AUGCCUAGUGAUUUUAAAAAAAACAAAAACAAAAAAACAGUUCAGAAGGCAAAAAGGAAAACAAUAAGUAGAAAGUCAAACGUGAAAACAAGCAGACAGGAGAAAACCGAGAGCCUGAAUCUAAUUAUUAAAGGCAACAGUCCAAAAACGAAGACAGAGUGCCGCAGCAAUGACACCACACAUAAUCACAACUCCUUAUCAGCAACGCUCUGCCUCAGAAGCGCCUUUGUGUACGCACAUGUGCACGCUGCACACCACGUAGAGCUUCCACAGCCCCAUCCCAAACACAUCCAUCAAAAACCUCUACUGACACUCCGGCACUCGGUGACGGCUUUGUCACACGUCGCUAUUUUCGUUUCAUUCCCACACCUACUGCUCCAUCAGCCCGCCAAGCAGCAGCACUUCGCGGAACUUCAGCCCAGCGGAUCUCCGCACCGCACCGCCGGGCGCUGCCACGGGCCCUUCGCCUUCCCCAAGGCUCCCACGGCUCCGCGCCCGCUUCGCGCAGAACCGCCGGGCAAAAGCACGCUCCGAACGCCGCGGAAAGCUGCCGGCGUGCCCUCGGUGCCAGCCGUCCGUAGUACGCUCUGCGCGCCGCCCGGCCAGACGGGAGGGCGAGGACUUCGGAGGGAUGCCGGCCGCCCGGAGCCGCCACGAGCAACAGCCGGGCGCGCGAAGCACGAGGAGAACCCCGCGCCCGUCCUGGGGCAGCACCCGGCCCGACGCGCCGAGUCCCUCCCUCCCCGCCCGCAGCCCCGGUACCGGGCAGGAGCAGAGGUGAGGCUGCGGAGCCCAGCUUCCUCCUUUCUUUCUUCUUUCUAUGCCGCCUUUGGGGCGAUGCCACCCUUCGGCGGCGCGGCACGGAGCGGCACCCCCUGCCCAGCGCCCCCCGGGCUGCCCGCCCCCGCCCGGGCCGGUACCCGCCGCCCGGGCCCUCCCCGCCUUUGUGCCCGCGGCCUCCCGCCGCCAGGCCCGCCCCGCCCGCUGUCAGCCGCCACCGCCUCGGCGCGGCCCCGCGGCCCCGCCGCGAGAGCCCCGGCCCCGCCGCCCGCCUACCGUGCGGCUCCGCCAUCCUCCUGCGGCUCUGCUCGGCCCCCCCCUCCCCGCCCGACCCGGCCGCCCCUGCCGGCCACCGUCUGUGCGCACCGAGCCGUCACGGGACUCCCCGCCCACGGCCCUCCCGCGGCACCGUGGAGGCGGGCCCGCUGA